rnacentral:rRNA from 1 species
UACGGGAGGCAGCAGUGGGGAAUAUUGCACAAUGGGGGAAACCCUGAUGCAGCGACGCCGCGUGAAGGAAGAAGUAUCUCGGUAUGUAAACUUCUAUCAGCAGGGAAAAUAAUGACGGUACCGGACUAAAAAGCCCCGGCUAACUACGUGCCAGCAGCCG